rnacentral:rRNA from 1 species
UUUGGUUAAGUUAGAAAGGGCGCACGGUGGAUGCCUUGACACUAGGAGUCGAUGAAGGACGGGACUAACGCCGAUAUGCUUCGGGGAGCUGUAAGUAAGCUUUGAUCCGAAGAUUUCCGAAUGGGGAAACCCACCAUACGUAAUGGUAUGGUAUCCUUAUCUGAAUACAUAGGGUAAGGAAGACAGACCCAGGGAACUGAAACAUCUAAGUACCUGGAGGAAGAGAAAGCAAAUGCGAUUUCCUGAGUAGCGGCGAGCGAAACGGAACAUAGCCCAAACCAAGAGGCUUGCCUCUUGGGGUUGUAGGACAUUCUAUACGGAGUUACAAAGGAACGAGGUAGACGAAGCGACCUGGAAAGGUCCGUCGUAGAGGGUAACAACCCCGUAGUCGAAACUUCGUUCUCUCUUGAAUGUAUCCUGAGUACGGCGGAACACGUGAAAUUCCGUCGGAAUCUGGGAGGACCAUCUCCCAAGGCUAAAUACUCCCUAGUGAUCGAUAGUGAACCAGUACCGUGAGGGAAAGGUGAAAAGCACCCCGGAAGGGGAGUGAAAGAGAUCCUGAAACCGUGUGCCUACAAAUAGUCAGAGCCCGUUAACGGGUGAUGGCGUGCCUUUUGUAGAAUGAACCGGCGAGUUACGAUCCCGUGCGAGGUUAAGCUGAAGAGGCGGAGCCGCAGCGAAAGCGAGUCUGAAUAGGGCGUUUAGUACGUGGUCGUAGACCCGAAACCAGGUGAUCUACCCAUGUCCAGGGUGAAGUUCAGGUAACACUGAAUGGAGGCCCGAACCCACGCACGUUGAAAAGUGCGGGGAUGAGGUGUGGGUAGCGGAGAAAUUCCAAUCGAACCUGGAGAUAGCUGGUUCUCCCCGAAAUAGCUUUAGGGCUAGCCUUAAGUGUAAGAGUCUUGGAGGUAGAGCACUGAUUGGACUAGGGGUCCUCAUCGGAUUACCGAAUUCAGUCAAACUCCGAAUGCCAAUGACUUAUCCUUAGGAGUCAGACUGCGAGUGAUAAGAUCCGUAGUCAAAAGGGAAACAGCCCAGACCGCCAGCUAAGGUCCCAAAGUGUGUAUUAAGUGGAAAAGGAUGUGGAGUUGCUUAGACAACUAGGAUGUUGGCUUAGAAGCAGCCACCAUUUAAAGAGUGCGUAAUAGCUCACUAGUCGAGUGACUCUGCGCCGAAAAUGUACCGGGGCUAAAUACACCACCGAAGCUGCGGAUUGAUACCAAUGGUAUCAGUGGUAGGGGAGCGUUCUAAGGACAGUGAAGUCAGACCGGAAGGACUGGUGGAGUGCUUAGAAGUGAGAAUGCCGGUAUGAGUAGCGAAAGACGGGUGAGAAUCCCGUCCACCGAAUGCCUAAGGUUUCCUGAGGAAGGCUCGUCCGCUCAGGGUUAGUCAGGACCUAAGCCGAGGCCGACAGGCGUAGGCGAUGGACAACAGGUUGAUAUUCCUGUACCACCUCUUUAUCGUUUGAGCAAUGGAGGGACGCAGAAGGAUAGAAGAAGCGUGCGAUUGGUUGUGCACGUCCAAGCAGUUAGGCUGAUAAGUAGGCAAAUCCGCUUAUCGUGAAGGCUGAGCUGUGAUGGGGAAGCUCCUUAUGGAGCGAAGUCUUUGAUUCCCCGCUGCCAAGAAAAGCUUCUAGCGAGAUAAAAGGUGCCUGUACCGCAAACCGACACAGGUAGGCGAGGAGAGAAUCCUAAGGUGUGCGAGAGAACUCUGGUUAAGGAACUCGGCAAAAUGACCCCGUAACUUCGGGAGAAGGGGUGCUUUCUUAACGGAAAGCCGCAGUGAAUAGGCCCAAGCGACUGUUUAGCAAAAACACAGCUCUCUGCGAAGCCGUAAGGCGAAGUAUAGGGGGUGACACCUGCCCGGUGCUGGAAGGUUAAGGAGAGGGGUUAGCGUAAGCGAAGCUCUGAACUGAAGCCCCAGUAAACGGCGGCCGUAACUAUAACGGUCCUAAGGUAGCGAAAUUCCUUGUCGGGUAAGUUCCGACCCGCACGAAAGGUGUAACGAUUUGGGCACUGUCUCAACCAGAGACUCGGUGAAAUUAUAGUACCUGUGAAGAUGCAGGUUACCCGCGACAGGACGGAAAGACCCCGUGGAGCUUUACUGUAGCCUGAUAUUGAAUUUUGGUACAGUUUGUACAGGAUAGGCGGGAGCCUUUGAAACCGGAGCGCUAGCUUCGGUGGAGGCGCUGGUGGGAUACCGCCCUGACUGUAUUGAAAUUCUAACCUACGGGUCUUAUCGACCCGGGAGACAGUGUCAGGUGGGCAGUUUGACUGGGGCGGUCGCCUCCUAAAGUGUAACGGAGGCGCCCAAAGGUUCCCUCAGAAUGGUUGGAAAUCAUUCGUAGAGUGCAAAGGCAUAAGGGAGCUUGACUGCGAGACCUACAAGUCGAGCAGGGACGAAAGUCGGGCUUAGUGAUCCGGUGGUUCCGCAUGGAAGGGCCAUCGCUCAACGGAUAAAAGCUACCCCGGGGAUAACAGGCUUAUCUCCCCCAAGAGUCCACAUCGACGGGGAGGUUUGGCACCUCGAUGUCGGCUCAUCGCAUCCUGGGGCUGUAGUCGGUCCCAAGGGUUGGGCUGUUCGCCCAUUAAAGCGGUACGCGAGCUGGGUUCAGAACGUCGUGAGACAGUUCGGUCCCUAUCCGUCGUGGGCGUAGGAAAUUUGAGAGGAGCUGUCCUUAGUACGAGAGGACCGGGAUGGACGCACCGCUGGUGUACCAGUUGUUCUGCCAAGGGCAUAGCUGGGUAGCUAUGUGCGGAAGGGAUAAGUGCUGAAAGCAUCUAAGCAUGAAGCCCCCCUCAAGAUGAGAUUUCCCAUAGCGUAAGCUAGUAAGAUCCCUGAAAGAUGAUCAGGUUGAUAGGUUCGAGGUGGAAGCAUGGUGACAUGUGGAGCUGACGAAUACUAAUAGAUCGAGGACUUAACCAUAUAAUAC